rnacentral:lncRNA from 1 species
GAGGUUUGGUAGGACUAAAAGUUUGUGGUAGUUGGAUGAGGUUAGUGGGUCAGAUUCAAUGGGAUUGUGGUUGGUUAGUAGGGAGUUGGGGUGUUAGUAGGAUUUUAUUUUUUUGAAUUAAACAAUUUUUAUUUUUAUUUUUCCCAAAAAUAUUCCUCCCCUAGUUUUGACUUUUUUCUCUGUUCUUUCCCUCUUCUGACGUUUUUCCCUUUUCUUUGAAAAAUUCCUUUUCUUCUUUUUUUGAUUCUAUUCGUGAAUCAUCUGUUCAAUCGUUGCAACUUGGAUUUUCGGGUUC